rnacentral:rRNA from 1 species
UACGUAGGGGGCGAGUAUUGUUCGGAAUUACUGGGCAUAAAGGGUGCGUAGGCGGGGUAUCAAGCAGGAUGUGAAAUUCCAUGGCUCAACUAUGAAACUGCAUCCUGAACUGGUACUCUUGAGUGCAGCAGGGGAGUGCAGAAUUCCCGGUGUAGGGGUGAAAUCUAUAGAUAUCGGGAAGAAUACCGGUCGCGAAGGCGGCACUCUGGGCUGUAACUGACGCUGAGGCACGAAAGCGUGGGGAUCGAACCGG